CAGUAGCCACGGUAACACGUAGGGUGCAAGCGUUAAUCGGAAUUACUGGGCGUAAAGCGUGCGCAGGCGGUUAUAUAAGACAGAUGUGAAAUCCCCGGGCUCAACCUGGGAACUGCAUUUGUGACUGUAUAGCUAGAGUACGGCAGAGGGGGAUGGAAUUCCGCGUGUAGCAGUGAAAUGCGUAGAUAUGCGGAGGAACACCGAUGGCGAAGGCAAUCCCCUGGGCCUGUACUGACGCUCAUGCACGAAAGCGUGGGGAGCAAACAGGAUUAGAUACCCGAGUAGUCCCUGUCUUUAUACA
rnacentral:rRNA from 1 species